CCGACGGACGGCGCUGCGAGCAGGAGGCGUCCGGCCAUGUUCAGCCGGAGCUCCCGGAAAAGACUCUCCAGCCGCUCGUUGACCGGACUGGGGCGGAUAGAGCGAGGCCAGCCAUGUAACGCCUGUGGUGACCAGUGCCCUGGGUUCGCCUUGCAUAAAUGGAGAUCUGCUGUGAUUGUUCCUUUUCGCAAACCACAAUGACUCUGGAAAACCUGGCUGUAAAGGCCAGCACUGCCACCAGCUAAGGAUCUAUGAUCAGGAGUGCCAUCUCACGGUGACUGGGGUGAAGACAAGCUUGUGCAGGCCACUGGCUAACACAGUUCAUCCCAUGCCUCCUACAUACCAAGCACUGUGCCAUGCGCUUUUCACGUCUGGCAUCCUCAGAAUCCUCCAAAAUGCUGGAAGUCCAAGAUCAAGGCUGGUUUCUUCUGAGGCCUCUCCCGCUGGCUUGCAGAUGGCUGUCUUCUCCCUGUGUCUUCAUAUGGUCUUCCGUGUGUGUGUGUGUGUGUGUGUGUGUGUGUGUGUCCCCUGAUCUUUUCUUAUAAGGACACCAGUUAUAUUAGGGGACAGGAAGAAGAGAAAGGUGAGUCUGCUAGGAAGUGAAGAGGACCUGGUGAAGACUUAGAGCAGGAGCCAGCAAGCUAUGCUAGACCAAACUGGACCUACUGCCUGCUUUUGUAAAUCAAGCUUUAUUGAAACACUGUCACUCUCCUUCAUCUAUGGCACUUUUGUACUACAAUUGCAGAGUUGAGUUGUUGCGAUAAAGACUGUAUGAUCCACAAAGCCUUAAAUAUUUCCUAUCUGACCCUGUACAGAAAAAUUUGCCAACUCCUGAUUUAGAAUAUAAAAACAGAAUCACUUUUUCAUACACUUUGCCAAUGAUGAGAUGAAUGUCAUAUGAGGCUUUCUCUUUCAAGUGAAGUGGUUAACUGUUGUCAGAGUUUCUGCAUCUGAGUCAACCCUUACCGACAGCAAGAGUUAAUAUCUCUGAGGCCUAAUCCAAAAUAAGGUUAUGUUCUUUAGAAGCCUGGCCACUUCUCCUAGGAAUACAAGGAAUGCAGUGUGAGAUAGCAUUGCACUUCUGGUAAGGCCACUGGGACAGGGAUGCCCAAGGGCUCAUGCAUGUCCGUGCUUCUCCUCUUCUUAGGCACAAAGCUAGAUGAUGCUUCUCAGUUCUCUUGCAGUAAAGGAGGCCACGUCUCAAGCUUGUGCCAAUGAAAUUUGGGGAAAAUAUGUCCACCACUCCUCACUGACUCUUCACCUUCUCUUUUCUUGUCUGCAGGUCAGACUCAAACAAUCCAGUGGGACACUCUGAAAUUUAGAGGAAGUGGUCCAAUAGAAUUUUCUGGAAUUAUGGAAAUCUUCUAUUUUGUGCAUCCAGUGUAGCAGAAUCUAGUCACAGGUGGCUUUUGAGAACUGGAAAUAUGGCUAAUGCAACUGAGAAAGUGAAUUUUUACUUUUGACUCAUUUAAAUGUAAAUGAUCACAUAUGACAUCACUGCCAUAUUGGACAUUGCAGUUCUGGAAGAUGGCAGAUGCAGCCCUUAGAAGAAUCAUCGGCCUGAAUGUCUGGGCGGAGCAUAGCACUACCUUCCCACUCGCUCUUCCCCUCCUCUCACCCCCUCCCCUGCCUCACUUGCAUCAGACUGUGAUGUGAGCAAAAGCAUGAAACAGCUCUUUUGAUAGGCCUGUGAGACUUGCUGUUUAUUGGACUAGCUAGGCUGCUCUGACUCAUACACACCCGAAUCGUGGCAACCACUUUUAUGAAGAAAUGACAAUUCAGUCUACUACUUGUCCAUGUUACAUGCCCAAGGAAUGUGAGGGGCCUCUGCUUGGAUCUAGUUUUCAACCUAGUCUGUGGCAUUGAUUAUCCUGUUUAAAAGACAAAAGAGGUGACUUCAUGGGCACUUAACAUCUUGGCCAUACUGACCCCAGCUGCACGCUAUGUAGGAAGUUUUAGUCCAUUUAAACUGAAGUUCCAAUUUUUUUUUUACAACCAUUUAAAAUUGUCCAUGUCCCAUACAUGACAGAGAAAGGGUUGUCUGGUUGGAUGAUUUUUGGCUCACAAAAAAAGAACACAAAAGAAAAGCAUACGUUUUAAUACUCAAGAGACCAAAUUCUCUGCUGAAGAGGAAAUGAACUACAUAUCCAGAAGGGUCCUGCCAAGAGGCCAAACAGGCUGUACUCUCUUGGGGGAGUUCUCAGUGGUGAUGAGAACUUUUUUUUUUUUUUUUAAGUCAUUUCCAAGGUGAGAUACUGACUUGCUGCGGGAGCAGGAAAACUGGUCUUUCAUUGCUAGCAGCAGAGUAAGGGUCUUGCAAGUUUCAGGCAGCAGCAGAGAAAGCAUCUUGCAAGUUUCAGUCCAAAGCAAGAAGAGCUAGGAUUGCACCAGCCAUCUCACCUACUCUGUGCUCACCUGUUUCUGGAUGAACCACGGUGACAUCUGUUUUAUUGUAAAGAGAACCAAUUUUGGAAUCAAAUGGAACCUGUAUUAAAAUCCUGAAUCCGUCA